AUUGAACGCUGGCGGAAUGCUUUACACAUGCAAGUCGAACGGCAGCACGGACUUCGGUCUGGUGGCGAGUGGCGAACGGGUGAGUAAUGUAUCGGAACGUGCCCAGUCGUGGGGGAUAACGUAGUGAAAAUUACGCUAAUACCGCAUACGAUCUAUGGAUGAAAGCGGGGGAUCGCAAGACCUCGCGCGAUUGGAGCGGCCGAUAUCAGAUUAGGUAGUUGGUGGGGUAAAGACCCACCAAGCCAACGAUCUGUAGCUGGUCUGAGAGGACGACCAGCCACACUGGAACUGAGACACGGUCCAGACUCCUACGGGAGGCAGCAGUGGGGAAUUUUGGACAAUGGGCGAAAGCCUGAUCCAGCCAUUCCGCGUGCAGGAUGAAGGCCCUCGGGUUGUAAACUGCUUUUGUACAGAACGGAAAGGUUUCUACUAAUACUAGGAGCUCAUGACGGUACUGUAAGAAUAAGCACCGGCUAACUACGUGCCAGCCGCCGCAGUAA
rnacentral:rRNA from 1 species